rfam:Canis lupus familiaris chromosome 23, whole genome shotgun sequence.
CAUAUGGAUUUUUUAAAAUCCAUAUAAGUCCGAUAUAAAGAAUAAAU